UGGGGAAUCUUGCGCAAUGGGCGAAAGCCUGACGCAGCGACGCCGCGUGUGGGAUGAAGGUCUUCGGAUUGUAAACCACUGUCGGGAGGGACGAAGCUCUGACGGUACCUCCAAAGGAAGCACCGGCUAACUCUGUGCCAGCAGCCGCGGUAAUACAGAGGGUGCGAGCGUUGUCCGGAAUCACUGGGCGUAAAGGGCGCGUAGGCGGCCUGGUAAGUAGGGGGUGAAAUCUCAUGGCUCAACUGUGAGGCUGCCUUCUAGACUGCUGGGCUUGAGCACGGUAGAGGCUGGUGGAAUUCCCGGUGUAGAGGUGAAAUUCGUAGAUAUUGGGAAGAACACCAGUGGCGAAGGCGGCUAACUGGUCCGGUACUGACGCUGAGGUGCGAAAGCGUGGGGAGCAAACAGGAUUAGAUACCCCCGUAGUCCCUGAGCGGGCUGGCAAGGCGCAU
rnacentral:rRNA from 1 species